rnacentral:tRNA from 1 species
GGCGUCGUAGCUCAGUUGGCUAGCGUGGCGGCUGUACUAAGCCUUCCCCUUGCUGGCGUGGGUUCAAAUCCCACCGAGACCG